rnacentral:rRNA from 1 species
CCUACGGGGGGCUGCAGUGGGGGAUAUUGCACAAUGGGGGAAACCCUGAUGCAGCGACGCCGCGUGUGGGAAGACGGUCCUCUGGAUUGUAAACCACUGUCCCCAGGGACUAAGAUGACGGUACCUGGGUAGGAAGCUCCUGCUAUCUACGUGCCAGCAGCCGCGGUAAUACGUAGGGAGCGAGCGUUUUCCGGAAUUACUGGGUUUAAAGGGAGCGUAGGCGGGACUGCAAGUUGGGGGUCAAAUCUACCGGCCAACCGGUAGCCGCACUCAAAACUGCAGUUCUUGAGUGAAGUAGAGGCAGGCGGAAUUCCUAGUGUAGCGGUGAAAUGCGUAGAUAGUAGGAGGAACACCAGUGGCGAAGGCGGCCUGCUGGGCUUUUACUGACGCUGAGGCUCGAAAGUGUGGGGAGCAAACAGGAUUAGAUACCCUUGUAGUC